AUGGCAUGGAAACAUGUCUUAUUCAGCAUUUCUAUGAUCAGGAUGGCAGGUGAUACAAACAACCGAGAUCCAAAGCAAUACCGAAUAAGAAUGAGAGGGAUUGAUGCACCGGAGCUGAACAUGGAAUAUGGGAAGAAGUCAAAGAAAGGGUUGGUGAAGCUUAUUGGAGAGAAAUGCGUUGAGAUUCAUGUGUAUGGGAUGGACCACUUUGAUCGAUAUAUUGGCGACAUCUACUGUGACGGCGUCUUUAUCCAAGAACAAAUGCUGAAAAGGGGCUUGGCCUGGCACUUCAAAAAAUAUGACAAACGUCCUGAAUUCGCACAAUGGGAGAGAGAAGCAAAAAUGGCACGUGUAGGGCUUUGGAUAUCAGAUAAUCCUCAGACACCAUGGGACUGGAGGAGGGAUCAUCCCAUGAACAAAAAAAAGGAGAAUGCAGAUGACAUUCAGGGUCCUACUCCUGCAGUAGGUGAUGUGAAGGUCGGGGGAGGCGUGUCGAUGACCGACAAGAACAUGAACACGAACUACGCCGCCCUGGCGGGCGCGGUCGCUGGCCUAAGCGCCCUAGGAGCGGGACUCUACCUCAUGUCCAAGCCUAAGAAGACGGAAGAGGUUGUUGACGACUGA
rnacentral:rRNA from 1 species